AUGAACGCUAGCUACAGGCUUAACACAUGCAAGUCGAGGGGCAGCAUGAACUUAGCUUGCUAAGUUUGAUGGCGACCGGCGCACGGGUGAGUAACACGUAUCCAACCUGCCGAUGACUCGGGGAUAGCCUUUCGAAAGAAAGAUUAAUACCCGAUGGCAUAGUUCUUCCGCAUGGUAGAACUAUUAAAGAAUUUCGGUCAUCGAUGGGGAUGCGUUCCAUUAGGUUGUUGGCGGGGUAACGGCCCACCAAGCCUUCGAUGGAUAGGGGUUCUGAGAGGAAGGUCCCCCACAUUGGAACUGAGACACGGUCCAAACUCCUACGGGAGGCAGCAGUGAGGAAUAUUGGUCAAUGGACGAGAGUCUGAACCAGCCAAGUAGCGUGAAGGAUGACUGCCCUAUGGGUUGUAAACUUCUUUUAUACGGGAAUAAAGUGGGGCACGUGUGCCUUUUUGUAUGUACCGUAUGAAUAAGGAUCGGCUAACUCCGUGCCAGCAGCCGCGGUAAUACGGAGGAUCCGAGCGUUAUCCGGAUUUAUUGGGUUUAAAGGGAGCGUAGGCGGACGCUUAAGUCAGUUGUGAAAGUUUGCGGCUCAACCGUAAAAUUGCAGUUGAUACUGGGUGUCUUGAGUACAGUAGAGGCAGGCGGAAUUCGUGGUGUAGCGGUGAAAUGCUUAGAUAUCACGAAGAACUCCGAUUGCGAAGGCAGCCUGCUGGACUGUAACUGACGCUGAUGCUCGAAAGUGUGGGUAUCAAACAGGAUUAGAUACCCUGGUAGUCCACACAGUAAACGAUGAAUACUCGCUGUUUGCGAUAUACAGUAAGCGGCCAAGCGAAAGCGUUAAGUAUUCCACCUGGGGAGUACGCCGGCAACGGUGAAACUCAAAGGAAUUGACGGGGGCCCGCACAAGCGGUGGAGCAUGUGGUUUAAUUCGAAGCAACGCGAAGAACCUUACCAGGUCUUGACAUCCCGAUGACCGGCCCGUAACGGGGCCUUCUCUUCGGAGCAUUGGAGACAGGUGGUGCAUGGUUGUCGUCAGCUCGUGUCGUGAGAUGUUGGGUUAAGUCCCGCAACGAGCGCAACCCUUAUCGAUAGUUACCAUCAGGUGAUGCUGGGGACUCUGUCGAGACUGCCGUCGUAAGAUGUGAGGAAGGUGGGGAUGACGUCAAAUCAGCACGGCCCUUACGUCCGGGGCUACACACGUGUUACAAUGGGGGGUACAGAAGGCAGCUACACGGCGACGUGAUGCUAAUCCCUAAAGCCUCUCUCAGUUCGGAUUGGAGUCUGCAACCCGACUCCAUGAAGCUGGAUUCGCUAGUAAUCGCGCAUCAGCCACGGCGCGGUGAAUACGUUCCCGGGCCUUGUACACACCGCCCGUCAAGCCAUGAAAGCCGGGGGUACCUGAAGUGCGUAACCGCAAGGAGCGCCCUAGGGUAAAACUGGUGAUUGGGGCU
rnacentral:rRNA from 1 species